rnacentral:rRNA from 1 species
UACGUAGGGCGCAAGCGUUAUCCGGAAUUAUUGGGCGUAAAGAGCUCGUAGGCGGUUUGUCGCGUCUGCCGUGAAAGUCCGGGGCUCAACUCCGGAUCUGCGGUGGGUACGGGCAGACUAGAGUGAUGUAGGGGAGACUGGAAUUCCUGGUGUAGCGGUGAAAUGCGCAGAUAUUAGGAGGAACACCGAUGGCGAAGGCAGGUCUCUGGGCAUUAACUGACGCUGAGGAGCGAAAGCAUGGGGAGCGAACAGG